GCAAACUUGGUCAUUUAGAGGAAGUAAAAGUCGUAACAAGGUUUCCGUAGGUGAACCUGCGGAAGGAUCAUUAAUGGGUUUUUGCUUGUGAAGGGCUGUUGCUGGCCGGAUGGCAUGUGCACGCCUGGAUCAUAACACAAUCCACCUCUCUCUCUCACCUGUGCACAACUGUAGCUUAUGGGUUGGGAUUUGCAAAACCCCACCUGUUUGCUAUGUACUUUUUAAACACACCCCUGUAAUAAAGUUUCUUGUGGAAUGUGGGAACACAUGUGUAAUGUAACAACUUUCAGCAACGGAUCUCUUGGCUCUCGCAUCGAUGAAGAACGCAGC
rnacentral:misc_RNA from 1 species